rnacentral:rRNA from 1 species
CAGGAUGAACGCUAGCUACAGGCUUAACACAUGCAAGUCGAGGGGAAACGACAUCGAAAGCUUGCUUUUGAUGGGCGUCGACCGGCGCACGGGUGAGUAACGCGUAUCCAACCUGCCCACCACUUGGGGAUAACCUUGCGAAAGUAAGACUAAUACCCAAUGAUAUCUCUAGAAGACAUCUGAAAGAGAUUAAAGAUUUAUCGGUGAUGGAUGGGGAUGCGUCUGAUUAGCUUGUUGGCGGGGUAACGGCCCACCAAGGCAACGAUCAGUAGGGGUUCUGAGAGGAAGGUCCCCCACAUUGGAACUGAGACACGGUCCAAACUCCUACGGGAGGCAGCAGUGAGGAAUAUUGGUCAAUGGACGAGAGUCUGAACCAGCCAAGUAGCGUGCAGGAUGACGGCCCUAUGGGUUGUAAACUGCUUUUAUAAGGGAAUAAAGUGAGUCUCGUGAGACUUUUUGCAUGUACCUUAUGAAUAAGGACCGGCUAAUUCCGUGCCAGCAGCCGCGGUAAUACGGAAGGUCCGGGCGUUAUCCGGAUUUAUUGGGUUUAAAGGGAGCGUAGGCCGGAGAUUAAGCGUGUUGUGAAAUGUAGAUGCUCAACAUCUGCACUGCAGCGCGAACUGGUUUCCUUGAGUACGCACAAAGUGGGCGGAAUUCGUGGUGUAGCGGUGAAAUGCUUAGAUAUCACGAAGAACUCCGAUUGCGAAGGCAGCUCACUGGAGCGCAACUGACGCUGAAGCUCGAAAGUGCGGGUAUCGAACAGGAUUAGAUACCCUGGUAGUCCGCACGGUAAACGAUGGAUGCCCGCUGUUGGUCUGAAUAGGUCAGCGGCCAAGCGAAAGCAUUAAGCAUCCCACCUGGGGAGUACGCCGGCAACGGUGAAACUCAAAUGAAUUGAC